GGCCAUAUCACGUUCAAACACCGAUUCUCCUACGAUCACCGAAGUUAAGCAAAGCUGAGCCAUGUUAGAACCUAAAUGGGUGACCGUCUGGGAAUACCAGGUGCUGUAA